ACUUAAAUUGAAGAGUUUGAUCAUGGCUCAGAUUGAACGCUGGCGGCAGGCCUAACACAUGCAAGUCGAACGGUAACAGGAAGCAGCUUGCUGCUUCGCUGACGAGUGGCGGACGGGUGAGUAAUGUCUGGGAAACUGCCUGAUGGAGGGGGAUAACUACUGGAAACGGUGGCUAAUACCGCAUAACGUCGCAAGACCAAAGAGGGGGACCUUCGGGCCUCUUGCCAUCAGAUGUGCCCAGAUGGGAUUAGCUUGUUGGUGAGGUAACGGCUCACCAAGGCGACGAUCCCUAGCUGGUCUGAGAGGAUGACCAGCCACACUGGAACUGAGACACGGUCCAGACUCCUACGGGAGGCAGCAGUGGGGAAUAUUGCACAAUGGGCGCAAGCCUGAUGCAGCCAUGCCGCGUGUAUGAAGAAGGCCUUCGGGUUGUAAAGUACUUUCAGCGGGGAGGAAGGUGUUGUGGUUAAUAACCGCAGCAAUUGACGUUACCCGCAGAAGAAGCACCGGCUAACUCCGUGCCAGCAGCCGCGGUAAUACGGAGGGUGCAAGCGUUAAUCGGAAUUACUGGGCGUAAAGCGCACGCAGGCGGUCUGUCAAGUCGGAUGUGAAAUCCCCGGGCUCAACCUGGGAACUGCAUUCGAAACUGGCAGGCUUGAGUCUUGUAGAGGGGGGUAGAAUUCCAGGUGUAGCGGUGAAAUGCGUAGAGAUCUGGAGGAAUACCGGUGGCGAAGGCGGCCCCCUGGACAAAGACUGACGCUCAGGUGCGAAAGCGUGGGGAGCAAACAGGAUUAGAUACCCUGGUAGUCCACGCCGUAAACGAUGUCUACUUGGAGGUUGUGCCCUUGAGGCGUGGCUUCCGGAGCUAACGCGUUAAGUAGACCGCCUGGGGAGUACGGCCGCAAGGUUAAAACUCAAAUGAAUUGACGGGGGCCCGCACAAGCGGUGGAGCAUGUGGUUUAAUUCGAUGCAACGCGAAGAACCUUACCUGGUCUUGACAUCCACGGAAGUUUUCAGAGAUGAGAAUGUGCCUUCGGGAACCGUGAGACAGGUGCUGCAUGGCUGUCGUCAGCUCGUGUUGUGAAAUGUUGGGUUAAGUCCCGCAACGAGCGCAACCCUUAUCCUUUGUUGCCAGCGAUUAGGUCGGGAACUCAAAGGAGACUGCCAGUGAUAAACUGGAGGAAGGUGGGGAUGACGUCAAGUCAUCAUGGCCCUUACGACCAGGGCUACACACGUGCUACAAUGGCGCAUACAAAGAGAAGCGACCUCGCGAGAGCAAGCGGACCUCAUAAAGUGCGUCGUAGUCCGGAUUGGAGUCUGCAACUCGACUCCAUGAAGUCGGAAUCGCUAGUAAUCGUGGAUCAGAAUGCCACGGUGAAUACGUUCCCGGGCCUUGUACACACCGCCCGUCACACCAUGGGAGUGGGUUGCAAAAGAAGUAGGUAGCUUAACCUUCGGGAGGGCGCUUACCACUUUGUGAUUCAUGACUGGGGUGAAGUCGUAACAAGGUAACCGUAGGGGAACCUGCGGUUGGAUCACCUCCUUACCUUAAAGAAGC
rnacentral:rRNA from 18 species